GAUUUCUGGCUUGAAACAUUUUGCCGGCCACGGUUUCGUGUGUUAGUGCUUGGUGUUCUGGCCAUCCUUCCAAUCGCUAUUCAUUCUUCUUCAUUGAGGGGUGAGUGGUAUUGGAUCUUUUACUUUGAAAAAAUUAGAGUGUUUAAAGCAGGCAUGCCGCUAUGAAUACAUUAGCAUGGAAUAAUAAUUUAGGACUUCGGUUCUAUUUUGUUGGUUUCUAGGACGGAAGUAAUGAUUGAUAGGGAUAGUUGGGGGUGCUAGUAUUCAGUGGCCAGAGGUGAAAUUCUCGGAUUCCCUGAAGACUAACUUAUGCGAAAGCAUU
rnacentral:rRNA from 1 species